rnacentral:lncRNA from 1 species
AUGCGCAGGCCUAGGAGUGGGGCUGGCGUCCCGGGCGACCAGUGUGUUGUUGUUGGGUCUUAAUUCUAAAUUUGUCAGUGGCUCUCCUUGAAAUUGCUAAGUAGACAGUUGUAUAAUCCGUGACUAUUGACAUUUGCUUUCUUCUUUGGAACAUUUAAAUUUUAUUCUGUGAACUAGAACCUGAUAGUGGGCAUUCUGAGUUGUUUUUGACUAAGUGUGUAAAUGGAACCUCCAAAUAAGAUUAAAUUGAAGAGAAAGCAUUAAAGGGCAGUAUUCCAGUGGAAUCCAUGAACAGUUUAUGGACGAAGGGGCCCUGAGCCAAGGAAAGCAGGCCACCUCUAGAAGCUGGAAAAGGCAAGGAAAUGAAAUCCCCCAAGAGCCUCCAGAAGGAACACAACCAUGCCAACCUGUUUUAGACUUCUGAUCUCCUGAACUGUAAAAUAAUAAAUAUGUGUUGUUUUAAGGCAAUAAAUUUGUGAUAAUCUGUUAUAGUAGCAAUAGGAGAAGAAUACAGCAAAU